CCUACGGGGGGCAGCAGUGGGGAAUAUUGGACAAUGGGGGCAACCCUGAUCCAGCCAUGCCGCGUGUGUGAAGAAGGCCCUCGGGUUGUAAAGCACUUUCAGUGAGGAAGAACGCCUGGUGGUUAAUACCCAUCAGGAAAGACAUCACUCACAGAAGAAGCACCGGCUAACUCCGUGUCAGCAGCCGCGGUAAUACGGAGGGUGCGAGCGUUAAUCGGAAUUACUGGGCGUAAAGCGCGCGUAGGUGGCUUGAUAAGCCGGUUGUGAAAGCCCCGGGCUCAACCUGGGAACGGCAUCCGGAACUGUCAAGCUAGAGUGCAGGAGAGGAAGGUAGAAUUCCCGGUGUAGCGGUGAAAUGCGUAGAGAUCGGGAGGAAUACCAGUGGCGAAGGCGGCCUUCUGGACUGACACUGACACUGAGGUGCGAAAGCGUGGGUAGCAAACAGGAUUAGAUACCCUGGUAGUC
rnacentral:rRNA from 1 species